UUAAGUCCCGCAACCGAGCGCAACCCUCAUUGUUAGUUACUACCAUUCAGUUGAGGACUCUAAUGAGACUGCCAACGAUAAGUUGGAGGAAGGUGGGGAUGACGUCAAAUCAUCAUGCCCUUUAUGACCUGGGCUACAAACGUACUACAAUGGCCAAUACAAAGAGAUGCGAAGCGGUGACGUGGAGCGAACCUCAGAAAGUUGGUCUCAGUUCAGAUUGAAGUCUGCAACUCGACUUCAUGAAGGCGGAAUCGCUAGUAAUCGCGGGUCAGCAGACCGCGGUGAAUACGUUCCCGGGUUUU
rnacentral:rRNA from 1 species